GGCACAGCUGGAGAUGAUCAUGUCCACCAAUGGCCUCUCUGAGAAUGUGUUUGAGAUUGCCUCAAAAAGUUUGGCUGCUUAAAUGCCAGAAGUUGUGAUCUAUACAGAAUAAGUAUAUGCUUUUCUCAUUUUCAAAACCACCAUAUUUAUGUUUUUGGCUCUUCUACUAGUUUUUGAUUUUGCAGUAGUUGCUGCAUUCUGUAGCUCCCGAUAAAAUUUAUGCGCUGAAAUGUACUAUAAAACUAAACCCUGGAAAGUGAAAAGAGUAGUAUUUUCUUCUUGAGAUGUUUUGGACUGCACCAUUGUUGACCCUGAAACCAAAAUGGUAUCUUGAUCUGAAGGGGAGGGGUUCACAAGUUGCUUUCACCUUCAACAUUGUAUUCCCACAGCUCCACUUCCAGACUGGUAUGCACAUACUUAACCUGUGGAAUUCCCAUGUUGAGGAUAGCAGCGGACGAGGUAGUACAUUAGUUAAGAUUCAUAGUUUCAUACUGUAACUCGUUCAAUUGGGCGGAAAUAAGCAUUCUCUAGAAUUUCCUGUUCAUGUAUGAUUCAGCAUCUGAUGCUAGCUUUGCUUUGUUUGGUUUGACGGAAAUGCAUAUUAGGAUGCGAAGGAUUGACUUACUGUUUCUGCAGCGUCUCUGCAUGACGAAAUGCCAGUGUCAGGCCACCAAAUUGUAGACUAUUGCAGAUGUCCUACAAUGGUCAAUAGGGCUAUCAUCAUGGUUAAGAUUACAUCAAUUGUGAGAGAUUAUUGAGGGCCCACUUUGAUUGUUUUGGCACAUGCAACAAAUGGGUCGUAUAAGACGUGUCAACCAUGUAGCCAACGCAGUUGGAUUGAGGACCUACCAAAUCUUAAUGCAUGUAUGUAGAAUUCUUUCACCGAGACAGGUUGUCCGUCUUGGCAAGGUUGAUAGACCUGAUAAUAAGGCUUGAUUGAAUUAAUUGGGUUUAAGCCG
rnacentral:misc_RNA from 1 species